UUGUGAACCAUCUGAAUGUUGUUUUAUAGAACAGUCAGUUUGAUGUUGACUGACUGUUGACAGACUGUACACCACAGUACAGGGCCUGUGAAGCAGGCAACUCCAGGUCAACUACCAUAUCAUUAAAAACCAACUGGUGAUCUCCAGGACUGGGCUGGAGGUCAGUCACUGCUAACUGGUGAUCUCCAGGACUGGGCUGGAGGUCAGUCACUUCUAACUGGUGAUCUCCAGGACUGGGCUGGAGGUCAGUCACUUCUAACUGGUGAUCUCCAGGACUGGGCUGGAGGUCAGUCACUGCUAACUGGUGGUCUGGAGGUCAGUCACUUCUAACUGGUGGUCUGGAGGUCAGUCACUUCUAACUGGUGAUCUCCAGGACUGGGCUGGAGGUCAGUCACUUCUAACUGGUGGUCUCCAGGACUGGGCUGGAGGUCAGUCACUUCUAACUGGUGGUCUACAGGACUGGGCUGGAGGUCAGUCACUUCUAACUGGUGGGCUGGAGGUCAGUCACUUCUAACUGGUGAUCUCCAGGACUGGGCUGGAGGUCAGUCACUUCUAACUGGUGGUCUCCAGGACUGGGCUGGAGGUCAGUCACUUCUAACUGGUGAUCUCCAGGACUGGGCUGGAGGUCAGUCACUUCUAACUGGUGGUCUCCAGGACUGGGCUGGAGGUCAGUCACUUCUAACUAGUGGUCUCCAGGACUGGGCUGGAGGUCAGUCACUUCUAACUGGUGGUCUGGAGGUCAGUCACUUCUAACUGGUGAUCUCCAGGACUGGGCUGGAGGUCAGUCACUUCUAACUGGUGGUCUCCAGGACUGGGCUGGAGGUCAGUCACUUCUAACUGGUGAUCUCCAGGACUGGGCUGGAGGUCAGUCACUUCUAACUGGUGAUCUCCAGGACUGGGCUGGAGGUCAGUCACUUCUAACUAGUGGUCUCCAGGACUGGUCUGGAGGUCAGUCACUUCUAAC